rnacentral:rRNA from 1 species
UACAGAGGAUGCAAGCGUUAUCCGGAAUGAUUGGGCGUAAAGCGUCUGUAGGUGGCUUUUUAAGUCCGCCGUCAAAUCCCAGGGCUCAACUCUGGACAGGCGGUGGAAACUACCAAGCUGGAGUACGGUAGGGGCAGAGGGAAUUUACGGUGUAGCGGUGAAAUGCGUAGAUAUCGUAAGGAAGACCAGUGGCGAAGGCGGGUCUCUGGACAGUUCCUGACGCUGAGGCACGAAGGUCAGGGGAGCAAACGGG